rnacentral:lncRNA from 1 species
AAAUAAUCCUUAAGCAACUUAGAACAAAACAUAAGACAAAGAUCAUAACAAAGUAACAAUUAGGCAUAAAGACAAAAUAGCAGAUAAAGCAAAGAGACCAAAGUCUUUCAAUAGAUGAAAGUCACUUGUCAAGAAUAGCUCAGUCUCAGAUGUUGGCAUUGGCCAAGUCCUUCAGCACAGGGAAUGUUGCCUAGUUCUAAGUCCAAAAAGUUCAUAUCAAGUCC